rnacentral:rRNA from 1 species
CAUGCAAGUCAACUUGAAUUUGGGUUUUUAACUUAGAUUUGGGUGGCGGACGGGUGAGUAACGCGUAAAGAACUUGCCUCACAGCUAGGGACAACAUUUAGAAAUGAAUGCUAAUACCUGAUAUUAUGAUUUUAAGGCAUCUUAGAAUUAUGAAAGCUAUAAGCACUGUGAGAGAGCUUUGCGUCCCAUUAGCUAGUUGGAGAGGUAACAGCUCACCAAGGCGAUGAUGGGUAGCCGGCCUGAGAGGGUGAACGGCCACAAGGGGACUGAGACACGGUCCUUACUCCUACGGGAGGCAGCAGUGGGGAAUAUUGGACAAUGGACCGAGAGUCUGAUCCAGCAAUUCUGUGUGCACGAUGAAGUUUUUCGGAAUGUAAAGUGCUUUCAGUUGGGAAGAAAAAAAUGACGGUACCAACAGAAGAAGUGACGGCUAAAUACGUGCCAGCAGCCGCGGUAAUACGUAUGUCACGAGCGUUAUCCGGAUUUAUUGGGCGUAAAGCGCGUCUAGGUGGUUAUGUAAGUCUGAUGUGAAAAUGCAGGGCUCAACUCUGUAUUGCGUUGGAAACUGUAUAACUAGAGUACUGGAGAGGUAAGCGGAACUACAAGUGUAGAGGUGAAAUUCGUAGAUAUUUGUAGGAAUACCGAUGGGGAAGCCAGCUUACUGGACAGAUACUGACGCUAAAGCGCGAAAGCGUGGGUAGCAAACAGGAUUAGAUACCCUGGUAGUCCACGCUGUAAACGAUGAUUACUAGGUGUUGGGGG